GAUGAAGAACGUAGCGAAAUGCGAUAAGUAAUGUGAAUUGCAGAAUUCCGUGAAUCAUCGAAUCUUUGAACGCACAUUGCGCCCCUUGGUAUUCCGGGGGGCAUGCCUGUUCGAGCGUCAUUAUAACCCCUCAAGCUCAGCUUGGUGUUGGGGCCUGCCGACUGGCAGCCCUUAAAAUCAGUGGCGGCGCCAUCUGGCUCUAAGCGUAGUAAUUUCUCUCGCUAUAGAGUCCCGGUGGAUGCUUGCCAGCAACCCCCAACUUUCUAUGGUUGACCUCGGAUCAGGUAGGGAUACCCGCUGAACUUAAGCAUAUCAAUAAGCGGAGGA
rnacentral:misc_RNA from 1 species